CGUCAUGUACGGUAUUUCAACACAUUUCUAAGACUCUGUUCCAACUUCGUUUCAUGGUCUGGCGCAAAUUUCUAGUUGCGACAAUCAAUCAUAUCGCCGUCUGCAACCAAAACGUAACCAAGAAUUGCACUCGCCAACCAAUCCGAGACGCCAGUGCAACCAAAAAGUAACCGAGAAUUGACCAAUGAGGAUAGAGCUAUGGCGGGACGUUUAAACUCUAGAAGAGAACCAUGGAAAAAUGUAUUUUCUCAGGGAGAGACGUAUGCCUUCCCAAGGGAUGACAACGCAUUUUGCCUGAUGUGGACCAUACCUGGGUGUCCAAGGCGUUGUUCAGGUGGUCGGGGAAUGGGAUUCCAGAGAUGGACUUUGCCAGGGUUGACAAAAUGUGGUGGGACCGCCCUCCACCACCAUCUGCAGCUCAGUAGAGAUGGAGAGGUACUUUGCCCGUCCUCUGCUGCUCUGGAUGCCCAGGUAGCUCAGGCAGACUACUCCACCACCAGCUGGUUCUCUGUCCGUGGCCUUGACACCUGUGCCCUGCUGGACCUCUGUUCAUGAUCUCCACAUCUGUGCCCGGCUGGGCCUCUGUUCAUGAUCUCCACGCCCGUGCCCAGCUGACACUCAGUCAGCCCUGUCCUCUGCUCCUUAUGGGCUGGGCAUUCUGAUGGAGCCAGCAAUCAGUCGCUCUCCAUUUUCAGUUAAUUAUAUAUAAUUGUAAUUAUUUGUGUUCAAUUGUUUGUCCCUCUGUGGUGUUUAUUUAACUGUAUAUACAGCAUCAUUUGUCAUUGAUGUAUUACUCAUAAGUAUUCUCCCCUGACUCUUAAUUCACUCUGAGCACAAAAGCCCUUUUAGAAUUAGAAUUCUCUAAUUACAUUUUUGUUCAAUUAAUGUCAGUCUUCGAAUGCUCCAUUGUAUAAACUAUUUAAUUGUCCUGCUUGUGUGCCUUCUGGACUGAUUUCAAACAAUUAAG
rnacentral:lncRNA from 1 species